UACGUAGGGUCCAAGCGUUGUCCGGAUUUAUUGGGCGUAAAGAGCUCGUAGGUGGUUUGUCGCGUUGUUCGUGAAAACUCACAGCUUAACUGUGGGCGUGCGGGCGAUACGGGCAGACUGGAGUACUGCAGGGGAGACUGGAAUUCCUGGUGUAGCGGUGGAAUGCGCAGAUAUCAGGAGGAACACCGGUGGCGAAGGCGGGUCUCUGGGCAGUAACUGACGCUGAGGAGCGAAAGCGUGGGGAGCGAACAGG
rnacentral:rRNA from 1 species